UUAGAAAAUAAAAUGAAAAAUUAAUUUGGGGGUACCUAAUAUAAAUAGCCAAAAGUGGAGUGAAAAUGGUGUAAAUAACACAUUUAACUUAUUAUAUGAUUUAAUAAGUGAAAGUAGACCACUAAAGGAAUAAACUAAGGAUAAUGGGGCAGGUGUACACCCAUUAUACCAUCUGCAUUUCAUCUUCCUCAUUUGGAUUCAAAGUUGCCGAAAUGGAGAGCUAAGGAAGAACUCCAUGGGCGUUUUCUUCAAGCUCUCUUAACUCCUCCAUUUUAACUCCAAUCACUUAGGGUUCUCCAUUAAAGUUUGUCUACACAACAUAAGGAAGAACUUGAUACCAAAAUCAAGAAGUUUAAUCAAGGUUUAACAAGUUCCAACCAUAAGGUAAGUUAGCAUUUUUGAAGAUAGCUUUGUUAAACUUUGUGUUCAUGUUAUGGGUGUUGGUUUUGUGAAGGAAAUUUUUAAGUUUGAAGAGUAUUGAGAUAUCCAUUUUUGGGCAGCCAUGUAAUCAUGUAUUGAUGAAGUAAUUGUACAUAUAUUUGAUGAGAAUUAUGUUAGUUAUGAUGAUUUAAUAAACCUAGUGAAUUACUUCAUAUUUAUAUGGUGAUUUUUGGCACUUGGAUGGGAAUUGAUGAAUUGUAGGACAAUUUGGUGUUGAAGAAGAUUUUCGGCAGCUUGGGGACACUUGAAUAAAUGUAUGUAUUCAUGGAAGUGUUGGCAGAAUAUUGACAUAGA
rnacentral:misc_RNA from 1 species